ensembl:snRNA LOC120102774 U4 spliceosomal RNA
AGCUUUGCGCAGUGGCAGUAUCGUAGCCAAUGAGGUUUAUCCGAGGCGCGAUUAUUGCUAAUUGAAAACAAAUGUGAUGCCACAGUCUAUGGGUGGGUGAUGUCUGUGCAGUAUAUUUAUUUUGUGGAUUGUAUUUAUAUGU